AAAAAAGCAUUUACCGACCUAAAUUAGAAACAAAACUCAUUGAACAGUAUAUUUAUAAAGUGACAAAAUAUGAAAACAAUUUCUAAUUCAAAAGGAGAGAAAGCCACAUUUUCAUCUCAUCUCUCUCUUUCAUCGAUUUUCAUUGCACUCUUCAGUUUUUAGUCAUCACAAUCAAUCUCAAGCUCUGCGCGACAUGGAUAAGUAUCAUUGAUCAUUUUGUCACUGCAAUAAUGACAAUAUUGAUAUAGAUGUAUCUCUGCUUUUAUAUUCUGAUUUUGUCAAAUUUUUAUCUAAGCUCUGAUUUAUGUACUCUGGUUUCCCUUAUCUCUUGCUUUGAAUCGAUUUCUAAAGCUUGAAAUUUCAUGGAGGUGUGCUUGAAAUGUUGCCAGACAGGACAAAAUCUCUACAGCUUUGUUCACUCUGAUUACACUGAGGUUCCUUGACAGAGGAAACCACGAAGAGCUUCCUAAAGGAUUAUUUUGUGCUUUUCCUUGACAGAGGCUGUAACACCCUAACUAUCUUAGGCGUAUUACGUGAUUUUUAAACGUACUGUGCAGCUCGUUGCUAGUCAACGAGGUUUAUGGAAAAACGUGAUUAAUUAAAAUUUUGCUUUUUCAUUAAACUUAUAAACCAUUUUACAAAAGUCUCGGGAUCCCGAUUUAUAAAAAUAUUUACAAAAGUUUCACUGUU